UUUAGUUUGACAUCCCGAAACUAAGUGAGCUACUUCGAAACAGCCCAAAGAGCUAACCCAUCUCUGUUGCAAAAGAGUGGGAUGAUUUCCAAGUAGAAGCGAUAAACUUACCGCACUUAAAGAUAGCUGGUUAUUCGAGAAAAGAAUUUAAGUUCAACCUUAAGCUUACCUAUUUCAUAAAAAACUAUACAAAGCUUAAGAGUUACUCGAAUAAGGCACAGCUUAUUCGAAAUAGGAUACAACCUACAACCUAGGGUAAAAUCACGGAACACCUGACAAGUGGGCCUAAGAGCAGCCACCUUUUAAAAAGCGUUAAAGCUUAGUACACUAUUCUUAACAAUACCUCCACCAACUUCCAACCCAUCAACAAUAUCGAAUGACUCCAUAAAAAUAUGGAAGAUAUAAUGCUAAAACUAGUAAUAAGAAAUAGACUUUCUCCAAAAUGUAAGCUUAAGCCGAACUAGACCACCUAUCGGCAAUUAACGCAAAUGAACUUAUCAUAAUAACUCUACUAGAAAAUACUAUGCACUUCAACGUCAACCUUACACCAGAACAUUUAUGGAAAGAUUAAAAGAGAAAGAAGGAACUCGGCA
rnacentral:rRNA from 1 species